UCAUUUGGCCGUGAUCCAAAGCCAACUGAAGUCAAUGGGAGUCCAUUCCAUUGGUUUCAAUGAGCUUUGGAUCAGGCCCUUUCAGA
rnacentral:pre_miRNA from 1 species